rnacentral:misc_RNA from 1 species
AACGCACAUUGCGCCCCUUGGUAUUCCGAGGGGCAUGCCUGUUCGAGCGUCAUUACACCAAUCAAGCAUAGCUUGGUAUUGGGCCGUCGCCCCCCGUCGAACGGGGGCGUGCCUCAAAUGCUUUCGGCGGAGUCACACCGGCUUUGGGCGUAGUAGAAUCUUUUACGAUUACGUCUGACGAGCCGGCGGGCCUCUCGCCGUCAAACCACCAAACUUUUAUACCAGGUUGACCUCGGAUCAGGUAGGGAUACCCGCUGAACUUAA